UUGUUAACUGAUGUAAUGAUAUACUUUUUAUUGACCUUGGGCUAAAUUAGAGUAAGACGACUGUUUGGGGUUAAAUAAGGAGUUUAUAUGAUGAGAAUGUUUAACUGAUCUGUGAAUGACUGUUAAGAUGUUUAGAAUGGACUGAGGGGAAAAAUUGUUAGCUUUUAUUGGGAUGUGUGCCUUGUAGGUGUCCCACGGGAUCACCAAUUAUUCUGCACCUUCGGGAGCAUUAGACUGAUAUGUGUUUCUGCAGAACACUAGACUGAAAUGUACGUCCCUCGGGGUUAGACUGAAAUAUGCAUCCUACGGGAUCACAAGACUGCGACUGUACAGGGUGUCCCAAUAGAAUGUUAACAAUUUAUUUUCCCCUGAUGGGACCAGUAGAGGGUUUCUUACUGGGUAUUUUAUACUCACCCUCCUUAUGUUUAAUUUUUUCAGGCAAAGGUAAUAAAGGCGACAAACCGGCGAGGGGCAGGAAGGAAGCGUGAUUGCCAUAGGGGAUAUUUUAAUUUGCUUCCGCUUAAUGUUUUGUUUCUCAUGUUUUGUUUUAGUACUUGAGAUUGUUUAGAAAAUUUUAUAGUUGAACUGUAUUCACGAAUUAGUAAACUUUUCUUGAAAGUGUUGGCUAUUUUAAACAGGGCCCAAAUAUAAAUUUUUGUUUUCUUUGAGACUUUGAAAUUAUUUGAGAUUGAGAUUUUGCGUAAACUCAGGUCUUUAUUUGAAAUUAAUGACUUCGACUUAUUUGGAAAAGUUGGGUCGUUACACCUUGUAUUGGUGUUUCCUUCCCAAUUAAAAUUGAUUUUCACUUGUUGGACCUUUUAGAUAUUUUGAACCCAUAAGUGGGGGAUUGUUAGUGAUAUAUAAUUAAAUUUACUUUUAAUCACUAGCUUAAGAUUUUGGGUGGUGGUUUAAUUAAUAGCAUCAGCUUUCUAAAAAAUUUCUUCAAGGCGGGUUUCCAAGAAGCGAAUUGAGUUAGGAACUUUCAUUAGGUAGAGCAUUUGCUCUUCAACCUUUACCAGUCGGUCCACAUGGGCCUCGCCCGACUAUUUUGUUAUGGACAUGUUUACAUUUUAACCGUUAAUAAGCCAACUUAGGCUAUCACACCCCACCACGAGAACCUACUUGCGUGGCUCGAGAUAUGGCGUGAAGCCAAUCGAUAGCACCCACGUCAAGAACGACACCAUUUAACCCUUAGCCUGAACCUUUAAACUCUAAACAACAGCGGAAACAUAACACAUAAAUUUUACUAAAACCAAUUGGGCUAAACCUUUUUCAUUUAACAACCUUAGACAAGUUUUACAUAGAAAAAACGUAAUCUUAUUUAUCUAGAACAAAACCUUAUUAAACCUUCCCAAAAGCCUAAGUCUGAUAGCACAAAAGACUAAUUUAUCAUUAGUACAAAAUAACAGGACACAUAUGAUAACAAAAUGAAAUCCUUUAGUAGACAGGUAGUAGCAAGUUAGGCUUAGAGGACACGAUCUCUACCUAGAAAGUGGGAAAACAUUUUGAAUAUUAUGCAUUUUGAAGAGUAAACAAUAUGCUUGAAUAAAUACCUUUAAACAAUAACACCCUUGAAAGACUUUUCAUAACAUAACUUAAACAUUUUAUCAUAAAUCCGUCAUAAAUCAUGACUUAAGAACAUGCUUGAAAUCACUUUAAAUAAAACAUUUUCCACUCAUAGAUACAAGCUCAAAUCCUUGGUUUAUAAAUUUGUAUGAUCUUCUCAUGUCCUGAAAUAAUGGUAAAAUAGUACAAUUAAUUAUCUUUUGCCAAUAAAAUAUCAAAAGUAUACUUAAAAAACACAAAAAAUUACCAAAAAUAGCUCAACACGCAAUAUGACACUGCCUGGCACGAAUGGGUGGGUAGUAGGGCCUUGGUUGGGCGCUGGCUACUGUGUGUGAAUCUCACAAGAGGCUUUUCACGCGUGUUGGGCAUGCCCGCGUGCUAACCUCACACACAAGCACAUUGUGAACCUCACAUGGUUGCGUGCUUGGCAUUUCGUGUAGCCCUCCUCGUGUGCAUUCUUGGCUAGUGCAUUUCUUGUGUCACAAUCGCGAGCUUUCAAACACGAGAGGAGCGAUUAUGUUGCACUUGUUUUACGUAGACAACAAGUUAGCUGAUCAAAAUCCAGAAACCACGGACAAACACAUGAUACGAUGUAGCCUCUCUUCACGUUCUUAAGAAAAUGUUUUAUAAAACGUGAGGAGAAAGAAAUUCAAUGAAAAUAUCGUUAAAGCAAGCAUUGAAGACUGUCAAUUGCAAAGAAAAACUUUGAUUGCGAAGAGUGCAACAAGGCUUGGGCAGGAAUUCAACUACUAUGUCCCAUCUAUAGUACAUUUUAGACUUUUUUAGUUCUGGUAGGCUUGCAUAAGAAAAAGCCAAGUCACACCCAAGGUUUAUGACAUAAAAAGGAAAGCAAAAAGUAAAACUAAAUACAAAACAUAAAAACAAUGUAAAUUGGGGGUGUUUGGGCAUGCGGCCAUAAGUAAACAGCGCCUUGGACAAGCAUGCUUGUUACAUUCUCCCCCACUUAAACAAUUGACGUCCCUGUCGACUGGAAGCUAGAAUUCCUCGAUCUUCUUCUUUCACGCUCCAAGGUCUUCAGCACAUUCCUAACGUGUUUCUUCCACAUGGAGGUUCUUUCACUUCAGUAGGAAUUCAUGUAUCUUCUUCAUGGGUAUACCCUUCCUCACUCUCUUAGGAAGGAUUUCUUCCAUUUCUUUAUCGUCUUUCUGCUUUAGGUCACUAGAUGACCAUACACCAUUGUUGCACUACUGGUCAUCUGGAUCUUGAUGGUAAGGUUUCAAGUUGCUCACAUGAGCUACUAGAUGAUUUUUUAUCCAUGCAGGCAACGAUACCCUAUAGGAUGCAUUUCCAAUUUUCUUCAGAACUUCAACAGGCCCUUCGUAUUUUCUGGUGAGAUGCUGAUGUUGAUGUCCUCUAAAUCAAAUUUGCUUUGCUUUAAACUCUAUGAAGAGUUGGUCUUCCGCUCAAAACUUGAGAGGAUGAUGCUUCUUAUCAUACGCUUCGAGACUUUCUCUUAGUAUGCUCGAGCGAUGUUCGUAGUCUUCUCCCACUUUUUCGUAAAGUUAUGAGCUUGAGGAUUUUUUCCGGCAUAAGGAUGAUCAACAAUAUGAGGCAGUAUAGGUUGUCUUCCACUCAAGAUUUCGAAAGGACUCGUUCUUGUGGAUAGACUAGUUUGUGCAUUAAAACAAAAUUGAGCCACAUCCAUCAACUAGGCCCAAUUCUUUUGUCCAGAAUCAACAAAAUGUCGUAGAUAUUCCUUAAGCAUACAAUUGAAUCCUUCAGUUUGGCCAUUCGUCUGAGGAUGGCAGCUUAAGGAUAUAUUUAGGCGUGUCCCCAAGAAGGCGAAUAGUUCGGUCCAGAGAGUACCAAUGAAUCUACCAUCCCUGUCACUCACAAUGCUUGAUGGAACUCUCCAUAACUUCAAGACGUUCUUAAAGAACAAGUGUGCUAUCAGCUCGACAGAACAUAGUUUUGUAGUGGGGAUGAAGGUGGCGUACUUCGAGAACCAAUUGAUUAUAACCAAGAUGCCUCAAAGUCGUUCACCUUUGGGAUGUGUAAUAAAAUCCAUGGAUUUCGCACAUUCAGGGAAUUUCAAUGUGUUCGACUAACUUUCCAAAGUUACUUUCUCUAUUAAAGCCUGAAGCCCCGUAUGCUGCAAGAAUCAGUGUUGCCAAUCGAGGUUGCAACGUUUCAAAUGCAACUGAUCAGCAUACCAUUCAAAAUUUGAAUUUUCAACAUGACGAGUUUGUAACUUUAGUGCCCCUUGGAGAAGAAAAUGAAAUUCAGGGUAUGUGUAAUUCAGGUUUUGUUCCACAAGAUAGUACAAUUUAAAUUAUUCUCCAUAUGUUGCUUAAUUAUCUCAUAACGGUUUAUUUAAACCAGGAUGCAGUGCAUGACAGCAACGGUCUGGUUUCUUUUGCAGAAAUAGAGAACAACACGACAGCUAGUAUUGCAAAAUUAUCCAAUACUCUUGGUAAUUUGGAUGAGACACAUUGUUCUUGCUCUAAACAUAGCGCAAAGAGAGUUUGGGAAGCAUCACUUUCUUCCCUGAAGUCAAAGAAAGUAAAAGGAGUCAAUCUGGACCAUUUCCAUUCCCACUCUAACAAAAAUCUUGAUCCUAAAAGUGAUGUAUACGAUACCUGCUCUCCAGGAUGCUCUUUAGCCAAUUCAAAGCAUGAGAUUUUAUCAAGUAUUUAUCCUAAAAAUCCAACCAAUCAGUGUACACAAAAUUUCUGUCAAGAAUUUGGAAGUGUAAAUGUGGCAUCAGAGGACCUCAAUUCUGAAGAGAACACAUUAGGAAAAUCAUUUAAAAUUAUGCUGAUGAACAUUGCAGACGAAACUAAGAAAACUCAGCUCAUGAAGGUACGGUACCAAUUUAUAGUCUUCUAAAAUAUUCAUCAUUCAUGUUUCUUUUAUGAGAUUUUCUAUUGAUGGUAUUGAAGUUUUAUAUCCUUGGCUUAGUAUUCUUUAAAGGGGUGUUUGGCACAAGGAGUGGUCCAAGAAGUUGUGAAAUCUAGAAAGUUUUGAACUCUUAGGGCCUAGGACAUACGAAGUCAAUAAGGCAUAAAAUUGAAAUUUUCUUGUCGGGAGUCCACAAACACUUUUGGCCAAACAAAGAGCGGAAAACUCCACACUUCCCUAAUCCUACUCUUCCAGCUCCUUGGCUCAUACAGCCUCUACGAUCUCUAAAUAUGAUAGGCCCAUGGUAGUGAAGGUGUACACCCGUAGGCACAAGAAAGGAUUCAGGAGAGGAGGAUGGGAAGCUGUAUUUGUUGGUCUGAAUGUUGCUAGUUAAGGGGGCCAUGAGUCUUUUAUGCUUUCAUAUAAAUGCUAUUAUGAUUGUUUGGGGAGGGUAUGUUUUGACAUACCUUGUAUUAGGUUUCUUAGAAUAAUUGGGAGAGCUAGAGAAGCUUUUGAUUCCUUCCCUCCAUUAUUGACAAAUAAAAUUGAGGUUAAGGCUUAUCAUAUACAUACCCAGUCAUUGAACUUCUCCAUAUUCCUUAAGAGGCUUGGCUUAUUUGGCUGGCUCUACUCAUGUAGGAUUUCGAAAGGCGAAUCUGACAUCCUGCCAAAAAUGAUUAAUCAGUUUCUUUAACUGUUGAACUUUUAGGUUGUAUACUAGCAAGCACAUGAAGUUUAGGGAUUCAAUCUUUAUAUUAUUUUUAAGAGUUAUUCAAUAUCCCUACCUAGAAUAGACAAAUGAAGCUUGAAACUACCCAUAAUAUUAAUGAUGUUGUUUAAUUAUGACAUUUUGUUAUCGGUCUUUCUAACUUACGAAUAUCCAUCUUCUGAUAUGUGUUCACAUGCAUAUUUUAUGGAUGUAGAUUUUAUAGUAUUUCUUUAUUUAUUUUAUAUGGCAUUAGCUGUAUACUUUUUUAUAAAAUAUUAAUAUAAAUAUUAAACCACCGAUUCACCAAAAAGUUUAAGCUGGUGGUUGAAAGAAAAUUCAAUUAUAGCCUUAAGCUUAAGCUACUUUGGUGGACUAGAAAGUAUAAUCUUAGAAACACUCAAUCUGAUCAAGUUCUCUGAAGCAAGAAUUAAAGUUUGGAAAAAUCUUUGCGGAUUUUUACCAGCAACUAUAGAAUUAAAGAGUGAGAACUGAGGAAAAUUUUCCCUUAAUUUUGGGGAUUUUGAACCCUUAGAAGCUCCUGUAAUAAUCCAAUCUGAUCUAUUUCAAAGUGAUUUUUCCAAUCCUAUUGAUUUAUGUAGAAUAAAUUCAGUGAUUUUAGAUGAAGGGCUCCAAAGUGAUGGUCUCCCAGAUACCUGAAUUUUCUCAAACAGAAUGCCCCAUCCAUCUCAAGAAAUCCUUUCGAAGCACUUAGGAAGUUGGAUGAUGAAGAAGAAAACCUUGUUCGACCGGAAAGAGUUUCAGACCUUGAAUCCUCGCCGGAAAAAAUAAUUUUCAGAAGGCAAAAUUCAAAUUUGGGUAUAGCUGGCAUCUCCACGUACUUAGAAGGGGAAAAGACUUCAACAGAAAAGAGAGAAAAACAGACCUUGAAAGUAGAAAAGGCAGCCAGCCGGUAUUUUAUUAUCUCAAAAAAUAGCUCACCUAGCCCUCCCCAACCAGAUUUUUUCAAACUUAAUGUAUCUGCAGACAUUUUAAAAUCUGACACACAGAUGGUAGGCCCCAAGAAUUUUAUUAAUCAGAAUACCAAUGGCUUUUGGUAUUCUGACGAAUUGGAGGAAGAAUCAGAGUCCUCUCCUCCAUCAAGGAACUUCACUUGCUGGCCAUCUCCUGUUUUCAGUUCUCAACCAAAAUUACCAGCCUCUCCCAAGACUAAAAUAUCCUCUGCAAUGAAAGCUAUUCCAAUACAUGCCAAAAAAUUUAUGAGCACCUCAAGACCUAUACCAAAGGGAGAACUUCUUUUCGCAACAUUUGGAUGAGCUUGGCUAAUUCUGAUUUAUUAGAGGAAAGUUGUGUGAAGAUACAAAUUCCAAAUUCAGUUGGCAAAAGGUCAGUACUGCCUUCCUCCUUAAGUAAUAAAUUUUCUCAAUCCUCCUCCAAACUUUUUGGUUCAUUCUUUAAUUUUGUGCAAGAUACUUCUUGUCUCAAAAAAGUUGAGAACCUAGAAGAUGAAUUCAUGGAAGUUGAAUCAGUCACCAGUUUAAGUAGUGCAGAAUUUGAACCAGUUGAGGAAGAAAUAAUUCAAUCAGAGACAGAGAAACAAGAGGACAUUGACUCUCUCGGUCCAGAUUUUAUUAAAUUGUUUUCCUCCCCAUAAAAAGAAAUUUUGUGCAGGUCAGCAAGUAUCCUUCCCCCUCAAGAGUUGGUUCCUUUCUUGGCAGCAUGUGAAAUUGAAUUGAUAUAAGGCAGAGGUAGCAAAGAUGGAGAUUAUAUCAUGGAACACUAGAGGAUUCAUGGGCCAUUCGAAACAAUUGGCUAUUAAAAAUCUUUUGAAGAAAGCUAAUCCAGAUAGAGCAUUGAUUCCGGAGACCAAAAGAGAAGAGAUUGCCAGUUGUAUUAUAAAGGCACUAUGGAGUUUAAAAGGAAUUGGCUGGGUCUUUGUUUGAAGCUAGUGGCAGAUUAAGAGUUUUGCUGAUUAUGUGGAUAAAUAUAAGUUGUCGAUUAUUGAAGUUCGGUCAAGAGAAGGAAUGUCAUUACAGUGUGGCUUAUAAGUUGUUUCAACAUUAAUUUAUAAGUUGUUUGGAAAGGUUCUCGCAGAAAGAUUAAAGAAAGUCAGGCCAGUAUUACUUUGUAAGACCUCCUAUUAUCUAUACCUAUAAAAGGAACGGUAGAAAGGGAAAUUCCUUAGCAACCAAUGAUGAGAGAAUAAUGGGAGAGGAUCGUGCAGGUGGGGCCCGCCAGGAGGGAUGAGAGAGAGAGGUAUAAAUAUGUAAUGUUGGGGUAGGGGAGGCUAGGUCUUUUUUGGUUAUUUCAAGGAGAGUAAAGGCUGUUGUAGCCUGAGGGUAUCCAGCCCCGUAUAAAGGAGCUGGGUAAGUUUUCUAUGUUGUUCAUCCUUUAUUUUUCAUAUCUACUACAGUUGAAUGUGUUUUGGCUUUUACAUAAAUAAAGAAUUACAGAGUGCUGCCUCUGUUUAGCCAUUUGGUUAGGAUAUUUUGUGUUUUAUUGUUAGAAUCCUAACAUACUUCUCCAUUACAAUGUGGCUUUCUGGAAGAGUGCCAAAUAUUGGAUCCUAUUUUAAUAGCAAAAGAAACUGUGGAGGUCUAUAGUAUCCGAAAAAAGAAAAGAUGGAUCAUUAAAUUAGACCUUGAAAAGGCCUUUAACAGAGUGGAUUGGAAAUUUUAGAAAAUGUAAUGCAAAAGAAGAUCUUCGACGUAGGAUAUUGUGAUGAUCAGAACUUUCGGAUCAACCCUCUGCUUCAAACAGUUUUUGCUCAACCAAUCAAGGCUUAUUCUUCUUUGUUCUCAGCAUGCUGCCUUGGAUUAUGAUUUUGCUUUGGAAAGAUUCUUUUUAUCAUUUUGUUUGUCUUUGUUUUUGUGGCUUUUUGUUUUGAUCUUGUGUUGUCGCUUUUUGGAUGUUUUGAGGGCACUAAGGGGGUCAACCUAGUUUGAGAUGCCCGGAUGCGCCUGUUGAUCUUCCCUCUCCCCUUUUGCUCUUUGUAUAAUCCUCAUGUACAUUGAGCUUUGUCUCUUUCUUAUAUUAAUAAUAGUGAGACUCGUAUCCUUUUUUAAAAAAAGAAAGAAAAUUCAAUUAUAUAUCACCAACACUCUCCUCACUUGUGGGCUUGAAAUAUUUGAAAGGCCCAACAACUGGAAACGGAUUUUAAUUGGGGAGGAAACGACAAUGCGAGGCUUGAACACAAGACCUUCUUGGACCACCUGCUCAGAUACCAUAUUGAAAGGGAGACAAAUAAACACAGAACUUUAUGUGGAAACCUGUGUACCAGGAGAAAAACCACUAUAUUUUUCUUCUUAUUAUUUUUGAUGAAAAAUACAAUAGGUACAAGGGAGAAUAAAUAGAAUAUACAGAGGAAUAAAAAAGGAAAAUAUUUAGGAAUUAAGAAAAAUAUUCCCAUAAACUUUUCAUAAAUAUUCUAAGAUUCUAACAAUAAAAAGUUCUAUUUAUUCCAAAUUGUGACUGCUCUAAUGUGCAGUUGUUUUCUGAUUCAGAUGAUUGAGGAGCUUGGUGGUUCUCUCACUGCUGAUGGGAGUACAAGCACUCAUGUCAUUACAGGAAAUUUGCGGAAAACUCUAAAUUUUUGUAUUGCUCUCUUUUCAGGGUUAGUCUUGCAACCUUAGACGAACACUCUUCUAUGUAUCCUUUUGGCCUUUGAAUACCGAUAAUCAUCUCAUUUGCACAAAAGUUAGCGAUUCCAUGCACACAAGGCCUUUGUCGUUAUUCUUCCAUUGCCUCGUAGUUGUGCUUAGGCUGGAAAUUGUUGUGAACCUUCUAGAUCUAAAAGGGCAUAGUUUCUUAUUCUACUGCCUGUUUACUUUUAAUUAAACAUCAAAAUCAAUUCUUAUGUUUGAGUUGGAUUGUAUCAUGCUCUUCCUUCUCAGUUGUUUCUAUCGUGAUGGUGGGUAGUGGUUGUUAAGACAACCAUUAGGCUAAUUUGGGUUUCAGGCUUACUUUUCCCAUUUUACGUGUAAAAUGGCUCAAGCUCACUAAUGAAAGAUAUUUGUUGGCUAGCUAGUGUUUUUAUCCUCGAUUUCCUUCUUCCCCUAAUACAUUAUGUUAUGGAAUUUGUUAGAUACCUAGAUUAGUAUAGGGUUGGGGUAUAAGGGUAAUUAGAUAUUUAGGAAGUUACUAGUAGUUAUUGUGUAAGUGUGGUUACUAGUAGUUAUUAUGUAAGUGUGGUAACUAGGGUGGUUACAUGUUAUUAUAAAUGGAGGGAGGGUAAGUUGGGAGAAUUUUGGGGAGUGAUAUAAGGCUUGGGUGAGAGUACUCAAGAGGGAGGGUUCCAAGUGCUUUAUACUUGGUUUUAUCUUGUAUUUUCUUAUAGUUACAUUAUAAUAAAUUCAGAUCUUGUUCUUGUUAGGAAGCAUAUGUCUCCAAUAUUAUUUAAAUACAGUAGAAGAAUUAAAAAGGGUAAUAUUGACCCACACGAGAAUAUAGGAGAGAUUAUAGGAGGAGAGAAUAUUGGAGGAGAUCUUUCCCAUUAGUUUGUUAGUAAAGCAAAAUAAAAGGGAGGAAAGAGGAGGGAGAAAGGGGACAAAAUAUUCCAAAGAAGUAGAGGCUGCCGUCUUUCAUGCUCGGGAGAAGUAGAGGGUCCAAGUCAAGUUCUUUUUAUUGUUUGUUUUGGUCAUUUUCAUGGUUGCAGUUUGUUCUUAGUUUUUCUUGUUCUUUGUUGUGAUCCUCACUGGAGUGUGCCUUUAGGAAGUAGAUGUGAGUGAUUUUUUAUUCUCUAUACUGUAAUUCGUUGAGGUAAUUCAAUAAAGUAAGAUGCACUUGCCGUAUAUUUACAGUAUCUUAACAAAUUGGUAUCAGCGAUUUUACUUGGGAGAACGAUAGAGCAGCACAAAAACGGAUCGAAGAGAAGUUGGAGACCUCUGAUAAGGAAAUCUCAGGGAUACAAGUUCAGUUACACAAGUUGCUGGCAAUUGAAGAAAACUUGUUAUGCUUGCCAAAAAGCAUCGAAAGACUAGUCAUCUAGUUGGAAAAACAAGAACGGUUGCUAAAUGCAUCAAAUGAAUAGCAGAAGGAUAAUUCGACAAUCUCCGGAAGAAUGGAAGGAUCAUCGAGCAAAGGACAAACGAUUGAGAGUAUCAUCGAAGGUGGAGGUAAGACAUUGAAGGAAAUCAAGGUAGAAGGUAAAACAAACAAGUUUGAAAUGGAUGAAAACUCGAACGAUCAUAGCAAAUUCAAGAAGGUUGAAAUGCCUGUGUUCAGUGGCACUGAUCUGGAUUGUGUUUAUUUAGAACGGAUUGGAAUCUUCAGGUCCAUAAAUCGAUGGAUUCCAAGAAGUUGCUAAAUCCAUAGAAGAAUCGAGGAAAACAUGAUUGCAACGGUUAUACAACGAAGGUGAAGAGGAUGGCAAAGAGUGACCAAGAAGAAACUAUAGAGGAAGGUCGACGAGGAUUACCUGUGAGGCUCGAAAUGAAGACUCGAGUGAAGAAAAAUUUGUUGCUCAAAGAAACACAAAAUGGCUGGUUGCAAUGGAGAAAGAAGAAGCCGACAGUUGCCGGUCUACAGAGGCUCGAGAAGGUGGUCUGGAAUAGGGGUGAAUCACGUGACGAGGAAGAAGUUGUUGCACACAUGAUGGUGCCAAUGACGUGGUAGAAAUUGGUAGGAAAGAGGAUUAAGACAAAAGUAACAAUCUUGGGUUUUACUAUUUCAAGUGGGCUUCAACUUACUCUAAAUAAGCUUCAACUUAUUCUAAAUAAAACAUUGGGGGCACAUCAUUUUGUAGAUGAAAUGGGUGGAGAGUUCCAAAAAUAGGAGGGAAGAAAAACGUGUAUGUAGGUGGGUCCUAGGAAUGAAACCGGCGGCAGUAUGAUUUUGGUCUUGACGCAACACUUUGAUUAUGGCCUAGCCCAAUAGAGAUGAAGAGUUUGAAAAUUAAACACUUGUUGGUGAUAUGCAAAGGGUUAACUAAGACAAUGUGUUUUGGAAAAGGAAAAUUCAAGUACAUUGGGCUGCUUUGUGGGCUGAAGUCAAUGGACCUUAUUGGAAUCGAGAGUUUUUCAAAGCCGAAGGGGAGGAUUUCUUUUUCAACAUUGAAGAGCAGAAUGCUGGGGAUUGUUUGCAAUUAAAAAGAGAAAAAAAGAGAAAGGGGCCUUGAUCAUGUUUGUAAGCACACCUUGAGGACAAGGUGUUUUGAAGGAUCGGGUAAUGUUAGAUACCUAGAUUAGUAUAAGGUUAGGGGUAUAAGGGUAAUUAGAUAUUUAGAAAGUUACUAGUAGUUAUUAUGUAAGUGUGGUUACAUCUUAUUAUAAAUUGAGGGAGGGUAAGUGAGGGGAGAAUUCUGGGGAGUGAUUAGGGCUUGGGUGAGAGUACUCAAGAGGGAGGUUCCAAGUGCCUUAUACUUGGUUUUAUCUUGUAUUUUCUUAUACUUCAUUAUAAUAAAUUAAGAUCUUGUUCUUGUUAGGAAGUAUCCUAAUAGAAUUCCUCUAGAAGGUCUCAUGUUAGCGAAUGAUAAUCUGCGUUAAGUGUGUAUUUGUAGGAGUUCUUCUCCCGGGCAUCUAUGGUUGAUAUUCUUUACCUUUCAAUAUAUCAAAGCCAAGGAUUCUUUUGCAUUUCUCUAUGCUUUUUCUUUACCCAUUUAUGCUUUUUUCAGUUAUAUUUGAGAGUAGUAUUUCAUUUCUUUCAUGUGAAAUGUUGAACUUCAGUAGUGUGGAGAGUGGAACGUAAUAUCUUACCUUUUAUAUUAGUAAACUUGAUUUUAAGCAAUGUGUUUUUGAAGAUUUUAUGUUGUAGAAUGUUUUUUGUUCUUCACGCUACUGUUCUUAACUUUAUUUUCUCCUGUUAAUGUUCUCAAUGAUUAUCGAGCAUAUGCAUUACCAUGUGGCUUCAAGCGUGUCAGUGUGCUCUUGCUCAUAAUUUUUACUAUAUCUUGUUACUAAAAUUGCAAGUUAAUUGCAAAUUACUCAGAGCUUGGAUUUUCUCCUCCAGUUGGUUAAAGGAAAGCUACCGGGAAGGUAGAUUUGUUGGUAAGUUCGAAUGGCUUGCUAGUAUCAAAGCGUAAUGUAUUUUCUUCCACUUAUGUUUUUCAUCCUACCUAAUUUUUGUGAUUGAUUAAUUCCUUAUUGAUCUGUAGACGAGUUGCCUUACAUACUAAAUGAUGAUGACUACAUAUCGAAGUAUCGAGCCAGCCUAAAAGCUACAGUUCUCAGGGCAAAAGCAUGUCCUGGAGCUUUAUUUGAAGGGUAUAAUGUUUGCAUAUCAGCUCACGCUCAACCACCACCUAAAACUCUAUCCUUGAUACUCAAGUCAGCCGGUGGAAAUGUAAGUUCUCUGUUAUUGUACAAAUCUCGAGUACUAGGUUUGGUUCUCUAUAUUACAUAUACAACCACUAUAAUAUGGCUAUCCUCCCAUCUAAUGAAGAUGUGAAGUUCUCAACAAACAAGCACGUAUAUGAAUUCUAGACAUGGGUCAAUAAAUCAUAGACAUGGUGACGUGCCAUUUUUUUCUAAAAAAUAUAGGAUAGCGCUAGAACACAGUUUUAAUAUAUAUAAUUUAAAAAGUAUGUAUCAUAUUUAUAUAGAAAUUCAAAGUCAAUAAGUUUAUGUAUUUAUAUGCUUAAAAAUAAGCUUGUCCUUCACUCAAAACUUAUUCAAAGCCAAGAGUUUAAUAUGUGUGUGUGACCAAUCUUGACCUUUAUUACAUUGGAAUACUUGUUGUCUAACACAUCUACUGUACUAACUAGUGUUCAACACGUGUUCUCCGAGUGUUCCAUACAUAUUGUUUAUUGAUACACUAGCCAAACUUGAGUGUAUGUGCUUCUUAAGUCUUUAAUAUUUAUGUUUGUUUUGAUCCUAGGAAUUGAGCAUGUAAUGUAAAAAGUCUAUGCACAAGGGGUCAUAUGGCCAUCUCCGUGUUUCUUUAAUUAUCAAAUUUGUUCAAGUUUUUAAUUGUCUCUAUAUCGAAAUCUGGAGUUAUUUUUUGUGAUUUGGUGUACAAAUACAUACAUCCAUGUUUCUAAUUAUGAUUAGAUUGUUUUCUUGUCGCAACAUUUUAUUGUUUAGCUUGUCUUUGAUCUUGAACUUACUAAAAUAACAUAUUUUCAAAAUUAAUUACUGUAAUAGUUAAACAAAAGAUUCUUUCCCUUAGAACUUUUAAAGUUUGUCUAGUUACCUCUUAAACCUUUCAAUUGUUUAAUAGGUCUUUCAAUUUUAUGUUUUAAGUGUCUAUAAAUUUUGAUUUUUUUAUUUAAUAGAUAUAAAUCUGAAGAAAUGAAUAAAGUAGAUUUGUAAGUUUAAAAUAGUUUAAAAGUUGAGAAAUUAAAUUUGUAGUUGAAAAAGUUGGAGUAAAUAGUUUGUGUUAAGUCGGGUUGUGAUAUUUUAUUUAUUUAUUUUAAUAAUAGAAGAGAGGGAGACGAAAACUGCUAACUGAAGGGAGAAGAAGCGGUGGCUGACUUUGUAUAUUUCUCCUUUCUUUUCAAAUUGAGAAAAUUUCUUUGCAAUUCACUUUGAAAAGGAAAUGAAUAUUUCUCCCUCAGACUUAUCUCUCUCUUCUUUUCAAUUUAUUUUCAAUUUUUCUGUGUGCUUCUCACAGUGUAUGCAUAAUCUCUCUUUCAUUUUGAUCUUCAUCUCCAUUUCAAAUAUCUCCCACACAAAGAACAAAUAAAUGAGUAAAGUAACUGAGAGAGCAUUUUGUUUUUCCCUUCAUAUGGUUGGUUACUUUUUGUCAAUUAAAUGAAAAGUGAAGAAUAAGAUAAGAUUUUCUUUACCCAUUUGCCAUCAUCAUCAAAGCUAUUUACCUCAUUUUUGUUCACACACACACAACUUCAUUUUGUUGGAUUACACUCAUUUGAGAAAAUAGCAAAAUUUUAUUAGAAGAAUAGCAAACAUGAGCAUUUCACGUGUUUUGAAUUUUCAUUAACCCUAAAAUCCCCUCGCCUGCUUUUUAGUUAAACUGUAACUAAUUUUGAAAUAUGCAAAAUUUUAGCAUAAAUAUUGAUUUUCUCCUACAUUAUCUUAACACAUUUUUUUUCUCCAAAUAUUGGAUUUGUAUCAAAUCUUUAUUUUCAAAUUUUACUUUAUCCAAAUUUUCAUUUUUCAAAAUUUCAUCGUUAUUCUACUUUUAUUUUUUUAUUUCAUAUAUAUAUUUAUAAUAUUUAAUCUUAUUUUUUCUCUUUUCCUAUUCAUCUUCUUCCUUUCUCUUCCUCUUCAACCUACGGCCACACCACCAUCUUUUUCUUCCUUCUCUUUUCCUUCUCCAAUCAACUUCACCACCGUCUUCCACCUACACCGAACGUCAAGCAAAUUUUGUCCUAUCGUCGCAUCACCGUUAGCCCGAGUCACUCCGGUUCCGUCACGCCAUGUAUGUUUAGAUCUGAAUUGUUUGGUUAUUUGUUGCACCGAUCCGUCUCCGUUAGAAUUUGUUCUCCACAAUUUGGGUAAGUUAUGGAAUUUACAUAUAGAGUGAAUUGAAUGGAUUAAAUUGUUUGUGGAAGUGAUUGAUUUCUCUUCAAUUAUGUUUAGGUCGGUUCGUUGCACUUUAGUUUGAAAAAGAAGCUUAAGUAAGGUUAUAAGGUAAGGAAUUCUCUACUACUGGACUUGCCUAUAGUUUUGAAUUGUGCUGUCUGUAUAGUUACCUCCGAUUGAGUAAAGAUGUUGAAACGAUAUAUAUAUGUAUGGAUGUAGACUUGGUGUUGAAUGUAUGCUGUGAAUGACUAAAAAAAAAUAUAUACAUGGAUUGAUGUAGACUUGAUGUUGAAUGCAUAUUGUGAUUGUCUGGGAAUACAUAUAUAUAUGUAUGGAUGUAGACAGGACGACAAUUGUAGAUUGUGUUUGUAUGGAAUGUGGAUGUGAACUUGUGAUUGUCGUUUAGAUUGGGUGUAGGUUAUACUAAAGUAUGGUUGCGUACUGAUGAAUUGAGGGGUGUUAUGACUAUAUAGUUUGAUUGACUGAUGUAUUGAUAUGUUACUGGCGGACAUUGGGCUAAAGUGAGAUAGGUUGACUAUUAGGGUGUUAAGUGAAAGGAUUAUAUGUUGAAGUAGCUGGAUUGUACUAUGAAUUAGUGUUAAGAUGUUUAGAAUGGAUUGAGGGGAAAAUUGUUAGAUUUCUAUUGGGUAGUUACCUUGCAGGUGUCCUACGGGAUCACCACCUGAUAUGUUCAUCCUUCGAUAGCACUAGACUGAUAUGUGCAUCCUUCGGGAGCAUUAGACUAAUAUGUGUUUCUGCGAAACACUAGACUGAUUUAUGCGUCCUUUGAGGCGUUAGACUGAUUAUGUGUAUCCUAUGGGAUCACAAGACUGUGACUGUGCAGGGUACCCCAAUAGGAAGUUAACAGUUUCUUUUUCCCCUAACGGGACCAAUAGCGGGUCUCUUAUUGGGUAUGUUUAUACUCAUCCUUUCAUGUUUAACUAUUUCAGGCAAAGGUAACAAAUGAGGUAGACCGACGAGGGACAAGAAGGAGACGUGAUUGCCAUAAGGGAAGGUCCUUCAAAUGCUUCCGCUUUAUGUUUCUUGUUUUUCCUUUGUACAUGAGGUUGUUUAAAAAUUUUGUGAUGGAACUGAGUUUACAAACUGUUGUUUUGUGAAUAGUACUUUUAAAGUUUUGGUUAUUUGAAAUAGGGCCCAAACUUAAGUUUGUUUUCUUUGAUCGUAUGAUUUCAAGUGAAUUUUACUAUAUUUUGUGUCAAUCAAGGUCUCUUUGUCAAAAUUAAUGACUUCAACUUAGUUAGAAAAGUUGGGUCGUUACAACAAAUUUUAAGUAUUAAUGUAAGAAUUAUGUACUUCAUUAUAAAGGUCGAUAGUUUAAAGUUUUUGACGAUAAUUUACAUGGAAUUACAGGAUCAGUUACCACUAUCAAUAGAAUCACUUACAAAUAUUAACACGAUCGUGUACCGAUAACAAGACGAUUGUUUACACUAUUCAAUACGAUCACCAAUAUCAUAUGAUCGUGUACCCAUGUCAACACGAUAAUUUAUUUUAAUCAAUAUUAUCAUUUACCGUUGUUAAAUGGUCGUUUAUCACGGUUAAUAGGAUCGUUUAAUGUAUAUUAUUUCAUUGCACGAUCGUUUACUUAUUCUUGCAUUGUGUUUAGUAUUAUCAUUUUGUACAUUUUAUUCUUUUAUUCAGUAAUAAAUGUAUAUCUAUGUCUAUCUAUUUCUUUCUAUCACAAUUAAAUACUUAAUUUUAUUUUUUUUUUUUACAGAUUAUAAUGUCUUUUCCUAUUGUUGUUUUUUGGAGGUCAAUGGAAUGGAUGUAAUAUUUAUGAGAAUUACUUAGUUGCUGAAAUUUUGGUAGGUGUCCGAGUCAGCUUUAAUUCUCUAGUUGAUUUAAUAUGUGAACAGAUUCAAUUGGAUGGAUAAGUAGAAUUAUCUGUUUUACUUGAUUUUGGUAAAAGCAAGGUCCAACUGUGGUGCCAGUAAAGAAAGACAAUGAUGUGGCUUGGUAUUUAUCUUUUGCUAAAGAUGCAACUAAUAUACAUCCAUUAGUUGCUCAUGUAACUGUUGAUUUUUUUAGAAGGUCUUCUUCUUCUUAGAGAACUACCUGUAGCUACCAUGCUUAGUUCAAUUAGAGAUGUAUUGCAAAAGUGGUUUGAUGAAAGAAGUAAAGCUACUUUUACAAUGAAGAGUUGUUUGACUUCUUGGGCUGAGAACGUGUUGCAUUUAGAAUAACAUGAAAAGUCAAGAAUUUUAUUGGUAAGGUUUUUUUUUUUUUUUUUAAUGUUUGUAUCUCAGGUAGAUAUAAAUAGACUGCUAUUUUUGUCCAUCCGAUAGAGAAAUAUAACAAUUUAUGUGUGCUUGUUUCAGAUAGAUAGAGAUAGAUAGCUAUCAAUGUCUAUUUGUCUCUAUUUGUGCAUGCUUUUUUUUUUAAUUUUUCUAUAUUUGUUUUAUGUAUUAGGUUGAUCCAAUUAGUAUGACUGAAUAGAAAGUAAUGGAUGAUACAAAAUGAUAAUGUGAUUUAUUUAUAUUGGUUCUAAUUUGAAAUAUUCAAAUUUACUUUGGAAAUUAGUAUAAUUAGUAUAAUAUAUAAUGAUACAUUAUAAUAUAAAGUUUAUAUGUUAAUGAAACUUUAUUAUAUAAAUUUAAUUUUAGAUAAAGUUCAAAAUUAAUUUAUGAGAGAUAAAAUAUUUGAAUGAGUUCAAAUAUUAAUUUAAUGUGGAUUUGUUUCAUAUUAAAACUAUUAAUUAUAAUAAAAGUUAUAUUUGAAUAUGAUUCAAAUUUAACUUAGUUAAAUAUAAAUAUUAAUUAUUAAAAUUGAAGAUUAAAAUAGUGUAUAUUAUUUAAUUAAAUUGAUUUAAUUAAAUUAAUAUAAAACUAUAAGGUAUUGGAGAGAUAUUCAUUCAAUAAGAUUUAAAUGAAAUAUUAAUUAAAUAUGAUUUAAUUAAUUAUUAACUAAUUGAUUAAUGGUUAAUUAGUUAGUUGAUUUGAAACUUCUAUUAAUUUAAUAUUUUUAAGUUAAUAGAAUCCUAUGAUUUUCUCCUACCCCGUCUCCUACUCAAUGAAAGAAAGAGAGUUAUAAAUAUGAAGAAGAAAAACAACUUUUCUUAACCAAAAUAAAAUCGAUGAUUUUCUUUUCUGCAAAAUAGAUUGUAACGACCUAAUUUUUCGAAUUAAGCUGAAGUUAUUACUUUAAGACUAGAUUCGUCCUUUAACCAUAAGACUUUAUAAUUUAAAAAAAUAUAUCUUUUAACAACAUUAAAGAGUUUUUAUUCAGGCUCUAUUUCAAAUAAAACUUUGAAAGUGUAAAAGUAUCGAUAAUAAAGAAAGUUCAAGAACAUAAAAGUCGUUCAAUCAUGAAACCCAAAACAGUCUCAGUUACUAAAGAAAACCAAAAUAAAAAAAAUAUAAAGUAUAAGCAAUUUGAAGGACAUUUCCCUAUGGCAGUUUCGCGGAAAAAGAUUAAACAUAAAAGGGUGAGUAUAAACAUACCCAGUAAGAGACUCACUACUGAUCCUGUUAGAAGAAAAAUAAAAUUGUUAACUUCCUAUUGGAGGUGCCCUGCACUUUAAAAGUCUUGUGAUCAUGUAGAAAUACACAUAAUCAGUCCAAUGCCCUAAAGGACACAAAUAUUAGUCUAGUGCUCUUCAGAAAGCACAUGUAAGUCUAGUGCUUUCGAAGAAUGCACAUGUCAGUCUAUUGCUCUCGAAGAAUGCACAUGUCAUUCUAGUGCUCUCGAAGAAUGCACAACAGGUGGUGAUUCCGUAGGACACCUGCAAGGCACACUACCCAAUCGACAAAGCUAACAAUUUUCCCUUAGUCCGUUAUAAACAUUUAAUCAAUCCAUUCCUAGUAUAGUCAAACUAUUUCAUCAUUGUAAAGCCCCAAAGGUAAAAAUAUAUAUACAUAUACAUUUUUUUAUUUUUUAUAUAUUUUUAUUUAAUUUAAAUAAAAAGAAAAGAAAAAGAAAAUUCUUUAUUAUAUAUAUUCUUUUCUUUCUUUUUUCUUUUUCUUUUCUUUUUCUUUUCUUUUCUCUCUUCUCCUUCCUCCCCGUGCGCCCUUCCCCUUCUCUCCGUUCGCAGCCCAGCAACCGCCGCCGCAGCCCAGCAACCGCCACCCCGAGACUUCUCUUCUUCCGUUUCUCUUUCUCUUUUCUUCUUCCGCCCAGCGCGCGACCGACCCCCAUCCGUUCGCAGCAACCGUCGACCUCCAUUCUUCUUCUCCUUCUGUUCGCAGCAAGCCGCCGACCAUCUCCCGUCGGCCAUCUCCUUCUUCUCUUCUCCUCUCCGCUUCGUCCAAACCCAGCCUCACCGCCGCGUCUCCCCUACUGAAGCCGAACGCCCGAUCUGCCGUCUCCAUCGCCGGUUCUGUCUCCGUCGAAGCCACGGUUCUGCAAUCGUCUCCGCCGGUUCUGUCUCCGUCGACCACAACCGCCACUCCACCUGCUAUCAACGUCGGCCGACUAGUUGCUGUAACCGUUCAGAUUUGCUGUAACCGUUCAGAUUUGCUGUAACCAUUCAGAUUCGCGUCUGUUCGCGACGGUCUCCAUCCGUGAAGCCCAGCCGCCACGUUCCCUUUGGCCGACCUGACCGACCCACACUUAGGAUUUUUGCUGCGAGUUCGACAUUCGUGCGUUGAGGUGUUGGGAGUAACGUUAGGCUCCCUUACAUUCACAACCCGUUUGUGAAUUGUUGAAGGUUCAGUUCGCCAAUAUAUCGGUGAGUUGGAACUUACGUUGAGGAAAGUAAGUGACAUAUGUAUCGUGAAAGUAAUUGAAUUUUGUAUUGUUAUGCUUAGGAUUGUUUCGAGGACGUUAGUUGAUUAAGGAGCUUCCCUAACUUUGAGGUAAGGGAUUUUCUACUGGACUCACUUAUGACUGUGAAUUGUAUGUGUUAAAUGUAUACUGUGGAUUGACUGAAAAUAUAUAUGAAUGCAUAUGAAUUGAAGUAGACUUGACGUCGAAUGUAUAUCGUGAUUGUCAUGGAAUAUAUAUAUAAGUGUGUGUAUGUGGACAGGACGAAGAUUGUAGAUUGUGUUUGUAUGAGAUGCAGAUGUGAACUUGUGAUUUUCGUUUAGAUUGGGUGUACGUUACGUUAAAGUAUGACUGUGUGCUGAUGAACUGAGGGGUGUGUUGACUGUAUAGUUUGAUUGACUGAUGUAUUAGCAUAUUAUUGACAGACAUAUGACUGAAGUAAAAUAAGUUGACUGUUAGGACGUUGAAAGAAAGAACUUUGUGUUUUGAAGUAAUUGAAAGAUGGAUUGAAUGGAAUGAGGGGAAAAUUGUUAGAUUGUAUUGGGAUGUGUACCUUGUAGGUGUCCCACGGGAUCACCAAUUUAUUGUGCACCUUCGGGAGCAUUAGACUGAUAUGUGUUUCUGCAGAACACUAGACUGAUAUGUACGUCCCUCGGGCGUUAGACUGAGAUGUGUAUCCUACGGGAUCACAAGACUGCGACUGUACAGGGUGUCCCAAUAGAACGUUAACAAUUUAUUUUCCCCUGACGGGACCAGUAGAGGGUCUCUUACUGAGUAUUUAAAUACUCACCCUUCUUAUGUUUAAUUUUCAGGCAAAGGUAAUAAAAGCGGCAAACCGGCGAGGGGCAGGAAGGAAGCGUGACUGCCAUAGGAAAUAUGUUGUUUGCUUCCGCUUAUGGGUUCUUGUGAGGUUUAAGAUGAAUUGAAAGUUUGCUUACAAACGUUUAUUGUAAAUAGUAUUGUUUUUAUGUUUUCUUAAAUGUUUGAAAUUCAGGCCUGACUUAAAGAUGUUUUUAAAUUAGCUUACGUUUUGUUUUAUAUUAAUCAAAGUCUUUUAUUUGUAAAAAAAAUUAACGACCUCGACUUACUUAGAAAAGUUGGGUCGUUACAAUCAUAUCAUCAAUCCAACUUAACACACUUACGUUCAAUCUAUUCAAUCUAUCACAAAAUCAGUUGAUACUAUAACAACACACCAGACAGUCAAGAUAUAUAUAUAUACAUAACACCUUUCUCAGUUUACAAAUACAUUAUCCAUCGUAUCUACUUCUAUACUAGUCUGGCAUAAUAUACAUUUGUCAUCAUAUCUACUUCUACAUAUUUGGUAAACCAUACUAAGUCCAGAGAUCCAAACAGUCAACACAUUUCAAAACUUUCAAAGAGUCCAGUAAUAGAAACCCCUUACUUUAAUGUUACUUAAAUUUCUCGAACGAAGGAAACCUAAUACUAAGAAUAUGGAACUCAAUUACUUUCACAAUACUUUCUUUCAUUUAAUUUCCUCAAUGUAAAUUCUAGCUUAUCAAAGUAUUGGCGAAUCGAACUCCAACAAAUCUACAAUUUAGUUGUGAAUCCAAAGAACUCAAACGCUAACUUCAAGAAUCAAUUAACAAUUUAACUAAUUAUCCAAAACUACAACCCAAGGAUAAUUACAAUGUAAAACCACCACACUCACCAAUACAACUUACCACAAAAAUCCCAAAAAUUAGAGUAAAAUGGGGGCAACAACUUCGAAUAACUGGAAUCGACGCGUGUAAUAGAUCAGAUCUAAUCAACAAACGAAAAACAAACUUCAGCUUACAACCCAUGGCUGGAAGGUGAAGAGCCGCGCGACGGCACUUCAACAGACGUGACGGGCUCAGGUCUGGUCGACGGCUGCUUCAACUAAGUAACAACGCCGGUGAGAUGAUAGGUCAAUCGGUGACGCUCCUCGUCACCUGGAGCAGAAUGUGGUGGCGCGAACGUCGAAGGAGCUACGCGCGAAUGAAUCACAGCUUGGCUGGAAAACAGAGGUGAGACGCGAUGCCGAGAGUUCGAACUCACGACGAACGGUGCUUCGGCUUCAACGGAGACGAAGGGAUCGGUGACGGCGUGGCCGGCUGACGUCCAAGAGUAAUAUAAAAUGGCUAAGGGAGGCAGGCGGCGGUGGGCACGGGGAAGAGGAAGAGUGAAGGAGAAAGAGAUGGGGUUGCACGUGAAUCAAUAAAGAAUUGAUAUUUUAAAUUAAUAAUAACAUUAAUUCUAUUAUUAUUAUUUAACCUUUAGUAUUAGUAUAUUUUUUCAUAAAAGCCCCCUUCACUUCCUGCUAAAUCCACACCACAACCAAAUUCCUUAAAAUCUUAAUAAAAUUUUAAAAAUUUAGCUUGAGAGAAAUACCUUGAUAUUGGGGGUGUUACAUAGUUUCUCUCUAAAUUUUUUUUUCAUUCCAAUUGUUUUCCACAAACCAAUCUCAUCUUCGAAGAUAGGAAGGUCUCCAACGGGUGGUGUCCCAAUUCGGUGGAUUAUAGAUUCAAAGACGUCAACAAGAGUCAGUUCUAUGUAUCUUUUAAUUUAAAAGCAUAUUUAGUUCUUUAUUUAGAACUUUGAUUCUAAAUAUUGUCAAUGUACUGGUAUUUUGGAAUUUUCAAAUUAAAAUUGAUGAAUGGUUUUGUAAAAUCUUUCACUGCCAAGAGCUUUUAUCCCUUUAGGGCACACAUACCAAUUAAACUAAUGCAAGACCUUUGACAGUAGUUAAUGGUAGCAUCUCACAAAGUGGAAGUGGUUGGCUUACCAACGGAAGAUUUUCAAUCAUUUCUAGCAAUCCCUUUUCUGUUUGAGUAUGACCUUCCAUAUUUUCUGCUAUAUUACUUAUAGUUAAUAUCAAAUGUGCAUCUCUGCCAUAUAUGCUAAUAUCACUGCCUGACUACUCUUGAUGUUGAGGCGUUGUUCAUUUUUGUUCCCUACACAGAAAAGAAAAAAAAUUGUUGUUUAUUUAUAAUCUAAGCAAUUUUAAACAAUAUAAAGCGGUAACUAAUGAAUUAAACACUAACUGUUGAGUUUCUACAGUAGAUUCUUGAAGAUGUGACUCUUGAACAAAUGGAUUCUCAUGGAUGAUCACAUGUUUGUUAUUUUGAUGGUCAUCAUUCUUGUCCAGAUUGUGAUGACUAGAAUCAUCACGAAGAUCAUCAUACAUGUUGUUAAUAUCAUCAAACAAUUGAUUCUGGUUCUAGUAUAGAAAGAAAAAAGGAUAAUAAAAAAAAUAGUUACAAAAUGAUCGUGUAUCCUUAAGCAAACAAUCGUGUAGAAUAUCUAAACGGUUGUUUUACCAAGGGUGAUCGAUAUUUCAGAUGGGAUAUGCGAUCGUUCAUAUGUGAUAUGCGAUCGUGUAAAGAUAUAUCAAACCUUUGUUCUGUCAGAAGUCGUGCUAAGAAGAGUUGAAAGCUUGUAAUAAGAUCCAUCAAAAACUGAAAGAUUUUACAUCAACACGUUCCUGACACAGUACUGCAGUAAAUCAUGAGCAUCAAAUUACGUGAGAUACAUGUUAGAAAAUAUCUAACUGCUCAGUUAAUUUUUUAUGCGACAUCAAAUCACCUUUUUUCAAGCUUAAGGAAGGAAAUGUCGGCACUAUAUAUGUCAGAGUUGUGCAUUGCAAUGGAAGUGCCAACACGAGGUGAUACAUGUGUGUCUUUCUGGGAUGUAAAUGCCACUCCCCCGACUAGGACCAGCAUAGUCUUAGGGAGAAAGCAUGCUAGGAAUUGGAGUUGUGUCCUCAAUUUCUCCAAUUUUACGAACAAAAAACAAGUCGAAUAUGUAGAUGCACACUCUUUGUCAUAAGAGAUAUAACAACGUUUUAUGGGUCAUUUUGAAAAAUGGCAAAACUACUUUUUCUUUUAAAUUUUAACAAAUAGAAUUUUUUGCACGUGUGCAUGAUAUUUUAUAAAAUACCAAAAUAUUCACCUUCUCAAACAGUAAUUAUUUCGUUUCUGCGUUGUAAUUAAUUUAUGUUAUGAAUUUAUUAGCUUUUAAUUAUUUUUUACCUGAAAAGAUACAUCCUUUUUUCUUAAUAUCUCGGGACUCAACUAAUUGAUUCAAGAUUUUAAUUUUAUUUGAAUCUUACUAAUUUCAAAAAUAACCUAAUUAAAUUUCAAUUUCAAAAUAACAAAAUUAUUAUUUUUCGAAAUUUGAGAAUCUCAACGAUAGAUUUGUAUCAAAAUAACUUUUAAUUGAAUUUCAAAAUUAAAAAAAUCAACUUGUACACUAUUUUUCUCAAAAUAACAUUAAUGACUUGAAUAUCAAGAUAAUUGAAUUAUUAUUUUAAAAUUGGGAGAAAUUUUACAUUAACAAAUAUCAACUUGUUCGCACACAAGCACACGCACACGCACGCGCACAUAUGCACACACGCACAAGGAUGUGUAAAUUAAUUAAAGUUAAAAAACAAAUACAUUAAUUAUGUUUAGAAAGAGUUUUAAACCAUGUUCAUUUGACUUAAUAACAUUGAUUAAUUAUAAUUUCUAUCAAUAUUGGCUUAAAACUGUCAUUCGUGUAAUUAUUUCAAUAUAAUGCGGUCUUAUCCAAUUUUACCAACAAAAAACAAAUCGAAUAUGGAUCAGUAGAUCUACACUCUUUGUCAUAAGAGACAUAACAACGUUUUUUAGGGGUCAUUUUGAAAAAUGACAAAACUACUUUUUCCUUUGAAUUUUAGCAACUAGCAUUUUUUGCACGUGCAUGGUAUUUUUAAAAUAAAAUACCAAAUAUCAACAUUCUUCAACUGUAAUUAUUUCGUUUCUACAUUGUAAUUAAUUUAUGUUAUGCAUUUAUCAACUUUUAAUUAUCUUUUACUUGAAAUAGAUAUAUUAACUCAUAUCAUAAUAUUUUUCUUAAUAAUCUCGAGACUCAACUAAUUAAUUCAACAUAUUAAUAACUUUAUUCAAUCAUACUAAUUUCAAAAUAACCUAAUUGAAUUUGAAUUUCAAAAUAACAAAAUUGAAUUUUCAAAAUAACAAAAUUAUUAUUUUCCGAAAUUGAGAGUCUCAACAAUAGAUUUUUGUAUUAAAAUAACCUUAAUUGAAUUUCAAAAUUAAAAAAUAUCAACCUGUUCACUAUCUUUAUCUCAAAAUAACAUUAAUGCCUUGAAUAUCAUGAUAAUUAAAUUAUUAUUUUAAAAUUGAAGAAACUCAACAUUAAAAAAUAUUAACUUGUUCGCACACAAGCAUAGAAGCACUGCGCGCACACGUACACAUGCACACUUACACACACGCGUGCACACGCACACCUACACAUAGACACCACAGACGCACGAACGCACGCACACACACAUGCACACGCGAACGCAUGCACACACACACAUCUAUCCACACGCGCACAAGCACACACACAUGCACAAACGCACACACGUGUACGCACAAACGCACACACGUAAACACAUACGCACACGCGCACAAACACGCACGCGCGAGCACACCCACACACCCAAGCACACACGCAAUAGCCCGUGCACACACACGCACGCACAAACACAUACAAACAUGCACACACCACACACACAUGCACACGGACACUCGCACGAACACACGCACAUACACAUACGCACACCUACCUACACGCGCACACGUACACAAGCACAUAUGCAUAAAGAUGUAUAAAUGAGUUAAAAUUAAAAAACAACUACAUUAAUUGUGUUUAGAAGGACUUUUAAACCAUGUUCAUUGACUUAAUAACAUUAAUUAAACUAUAAUUUCUACCAAUAUUGGCUUAAAAGUGUCAUUCGUGUAAUUAUUUCAAUAUAAUGCGAUUUUAUCCAAUUCUAUUAGCAACAAACAUGUCGAAUAUGAACCAGUAGAUAUACACUCUGUCAUAAGAGAUAUAGCAACAUUUUUAUGGGUUAUUUUGAAAAAUGGCAAAACUAUUUUUUGUUAAUUUUAGCAAAUAACAUUUUUUGCACGUGCAUAAUAUUUUAUAAAAUACCAAAAUAUUCACAUUCUCCAACUAAAAUUAUCUUGUUUCUAUAUUGUAAUUAAUUUAUAUUAUGCAUUUAUCAGCUUUUAAUUAUUUUUUACCUGAAAAAGAUACAUAAACUCAUAUCAUACUUUUUUCUUAAUAUCUUGGGACUCAACUAAUGGAUUCAAGACUUCAACUUUAUUUAAUCUUACUAAUUUCAAAAUAACCUAAUUGAAUUUGAAUUUCAAAAUAACCUAAUUGAAUUUGAAUUUCAAAAUAACCAAAUUGAAUUUCAAUAUAACAAAGUUAUUAUUUUUCAGAAUAUGAUAAUCUCAGCAAUAGAUUUUGUAUCAAAAUAACUUUAACUGAAUUUCAAAAUUAAAAAAUAUCAACUUAUUCACUAUCUUUAUCUCACAAUAAUAUUAAUGGCUUGAAUAUCAAGAUAAUUAAAUUAUUGUUUUAAAAUUGGGAGAAACUCAACAUUAAAAAAUAUCAACUUAUUCACACACAAUCACACGUGCACACACAUACAUACACUUGCACGCGCGUGCACCCAUACACGCACACACACACGAACAUAGGCACACACACACAAACACACACAUGCACACGCAUGCACACAAAUGCACACGCAAACACGCACACACCUACUCACGUACACAUGUAUGUGCGCAUACACACACCAAGCACACGUGGACAUGCAACACACACGCGCACACACGACGCCCACUGAUGGUUCAAUUUCAUCUAUAGUUCCUAUUUUUGCUGACAGUUUAUUUUGCCAUCGAUAGAGGAUCUUCCGACAGAUCUACCUGACGGUGUGUGUUGACAGCUUAAUUUCGUUGGCAAAAGAAAAGUUGAUUAGUUUUUGAAGAUUUACUGACGAUAUUUGUCAUCGAGAAAGGGUAAAUUUCUUGUAGUGCAUGUACGUCAAACAUAUCGAAUUUGUUAAGUGUACCAAUGAAGUAUAACAAGUUUAUUAGUGGUGUAUCAAGUGUAUCAAAUUAUAAGUGAAGUCUUUUAAGUGUAUCAAACUAAUCAAGUGUAUCAAGGUCUCAGGGGUAUCAAGUGUAUCAAGAAGAAUCAAGUGUAACGAGAAGUAUUAUGUGGAACGAGAAGUAUUAUGUGUAUGAAGAUGUUUCAAGUGUGUAUCAAAAAGUAUCGAGUGUAUCAAUGAGUACCGAGUGCAUGAAUUGUAUCUAUCAAAUGUAUCAAGUGUAACAGUAAGAAGUAUCAAGUGUAUCAAGGGGGUAUUAGGUGUAUCAGACGUGUAUAAGGUGUAUCAAAUGUACAUCAAUAACGAGGGCAUUUGUGACAUUUUACCUCUUGAUGUGUGAGUUGGUCUUUGUUUUUGUCAUUUUCUCAAAUAAUAAAGUAUGUGUUCUAUGGACUUAAUUAUUAUAACUAUAUUUUCCAUUUUCGCAAGUGUCCCAUAAUUUUAAUACAUGUAUAUGUGACAUAAUCUAAUCAAACUAACUCAUAAAUGGACUUAAUGUAUCAAGAGGUAUUAGGUGUAUCAGACGUGUAUAAGGUGUAUCAAAUGUACAUCAAUAACGAGAGGCAUUUGUGACAUUUUACCUCUUGAUGUGUGAGUUGGUGUAACGCCCCAAACUCGAAGGUAUUUUAUUUUAAGAGAUUUUUUCGAUUUGUACAAGAUUUAUUGUUUUGAAGAAAAUAUGUUGAAGGGCGGGAAAGAAGAUUUGAAAAUGUGAUAAUAUAAUUAUAUAUAUAUUUAUUUAUAUUUUUAGUUUUAUUAUUUAGUUUAAAUAAAAGAAAGAAAAGAAAUUUUAUUAUAUAUAUAUUUAUUUAUAUUUUAGUUUUAUUUUUAUUAUUUAAAUAAAAAUAGAAAAAUGAAAAUUUUCCUUCCUUCUUCCUCCCGUGCGUCCUCCAUCCCUUUCUCCUUCCCGUACCCUAGCAGCCGCACAUCCCUCUCUUCUCCGUUCACACCAGUCGGCCACACAAGCUGCCGGUCGUUUCUUCUUCUUCUUUCCGAUCGUCUUCCUUUUCUCCUUCGGAUCGAAACCGCCGCGCCCAUUCGCUCACAACCGUCGUGCCUCUCCGCUCACAACCGUCGUGCCUCUCCGCUCACAACCGUCGUGCCUCCCUCGGAAAGCAAAUCGUCGUCCAAAUCUGCAUCGCCGAGCCGUCUAGGUCCUCGCCGUCGCAUGUGCUUCACCCUUGCCGUUCGCCGUAACCCAGAUCCGUCGCUGCAAUCGUCGGUCGGUUCAUUAAGCAAGCCGUACGCGUCACUCUGCAGCAGUCGUCCAGAUCUGCGUCGCCGUGCCAUUCUUUCCUCUCCGUUCGUGAAACCUGCUGCGCAAUCUCUGUCUCCGUCGAAGCCAAGCCCACCGCCGCCCGUUCCUUUCUUCUCCGUUUCUACACUGUCGCGCGAUUCUCCGACCGCGUCUGUCUUCACCUCCAUAAAGCCGUCGACGCAUACAUCUCGUGAAGUCAUACACGGAUCCAAGCCGAUCUCUUCCUAAAUUACGUGUCCCUUAUCAUUGGGCUCAUAUUUGGAUAAGAACAAGUUAUGGUUUUUGUUGGUUUCUUGGUUUUUGUUGAAUGCUGCCAUUGGAUUUAAUUGUUGCGAAAUGCUUAAUUCUUGAAGGUACACCUUGAUUCAGUGAGCGAAUCCUUGAUUUUCCAAAAGGUUGAAGUGGACUUGAUUUUCCACUUCUUAGGUAAGUUGUGGAAUUUACAUAUGGGGUAAUUUGAAUGGUUGAAACUAUUUAGAAAGAUGUUGAUUUUAUGAUUGAUUAUGUUUAGGAUUUGAUUCAUUGGAUUUAGUAGAUUGAAGAACUUGCAUAAAAGUGAGGUAAGGGAUUUUAUUUUCUACUGGACUCACCUAUGCUUUUGAAUUGUAAUGUUAGUCACCUCUGAUUGAGUAAAUGUGUUGAGACAAUAUAUAUAUACGUAUGGAUGUAGGUUCGGUGUUGAAUGUAUACUGUGGAUGACUGAAAAUAUAUAUAUACACAUGGAUUGAAGUAGACUUGAUGUUGAAUGCAUAUUGUGAUUGUCUUGGAAUAUAUAUAUAUGUGUGGAUGUAGACAGGACGACAAUUGUAGAUUGUGUUUGUAUGAGAUGCGGAUGUGAACUUGUGAUUGUCGUUUAGACUGGGUGUACGUUAUACUAAAGUAUGACUGUGUGCUGGUGAACUGAGAGGCGUUAUGACUAUAUAGUUUGAUUGACUGACGUAUUAGUAUGUUACUGACAGACAUUGGGCUAAAGUGAGAUAAGUUGACUGUUAGAACGUUGAGUGAAAGAACUUUAUAUUUUGAAGUAACUGAAAGAUGGUACGAAUGGAUUGAGGGGAAAAAUUGUUAGCUUUUAUUGGGAUGUUGCUUUGUAGGUGUCCCACGGGAUCACCAAUUAUUCUGCACCUUCGGGAGCAUUAGACUGAUAUGUGUUUCUGCAGAACACUACACUGAAAUGUACGUCCCUCGAGGCGUUAGACUGAAAUGUGCAUCCUACGGGAUCACAAGACUGCGACUGUACAGGGUGUCCCAAUAGAAUGUUAACAAUUUAU
rnacentral:lncRNA from 1 species